ACGAACGCUGGCGGCAGGCCUAAAACAUGCAAGUCGAACGAACCUUCGGGUUAGUGGCGCACGGGUGAGUAACGCGUGGGAAUGUGCCUCUGGGUGCGGAACAACGUCGGGAAACUGACGCUAAUACCGCAUAAUGUCUUCGGACCAAAGAUUUAUCGCCCAGAGAUCAGCCCGCGUUAGAUUAGGUAGUUGGUGGGGUAAUGGCCUACCAAGCCUACGAUCUAUAGCUGGUCUGAGAGGAUGAUCAGCCACACUGGAACUGAGACACGGUCCAGACUUCUACGGGAGGCAGCAGUUAGGAAUAUUGGACAAUGGGCGCAAGCCUGAUCCAGCCAUGCCGCGUGUGUGACGAAGGUCUUAGGAUUGUAAAAUUCUUUCACCGGGGACGAUAAUGACGGUACCCGGAGAAGAAGCCCCGGCUAACUUCGUGCCAGCCGCCGCCGUAA
rnacentral:rRNA from 1 species